rnacentral:rRNA from 1 species
UACGGAGGAUGCGAGCGUUAUCCGGAUUUAUUGGGUUUAAAGGGUGCGUAGGCGGCUUUUUAAAGUCAGCGGUGAAAUUUUGCAGCUUAAACUGUAAACAGUGCCGUUGAUACUGGGGAGCUAGGAUUUGGUUGCCGUGGGUGGAAUGUGUGGUGUAGCGGUGAAAUGCUUAGAGAUCACACAGAAUAUCGAUUGCGAAGGCAGCUCACAAAGCCAAGAUUGACGCUGAGGCACGAAAAGUGUGGGGAUCAAACAGGAUUAGA